rnacentral:rRNA from 1 species
GCCAGCAGCCAUAUCACCCUGCAACUCACACCUGGGAACCCACUGGAGCCCAGCAGGUGUGAGCCUGGUCAGUCCCUGGAUGGGAGACCUCCUGGGAAAAAACUAAGGUUGCUGCUGGAA